rnacentral:rRNA from 1 species
GACGAACGCUGGCGGCGUGCUUAACACAUGCAAGUCGAGCGGAAAGGCCCUUCGGGGUACUCGAGCGGCGAACGGGUGAGUAACACGUGAGUAACCUGCCCCAGACUUUGGGAUAACCCUCGGAAACGGGGGCUAAUACCGGAUACGACACAGCUUCGCAUGGGGUCUGUGUGGAAAGUUUUUCGGUUUGGGAUGGGCUCGCGGCCUAUCAGCUUGUUGGUGGGGUGAUGGCCUACCAAGGCGACGACGGGUAGCCGGCCUGGGAGGGCGACCGGCCACACUGGGACUGAGACACGGCCCAGCCUCCUCCGGGAGGAAGCGGUGGGGAAUAUUGCACAGUGGGCGGAGGCCUAAUGCAGCGACGCGGCGUGGGGGAUGACGGCCUUCGGGUUGUAAACCUCUUUCAGCAGGGACGAGGCGUAGGUGACGGUACCGGCAGAAGAAGCGCCGGCCAACUACGU